rnacentral:rRNA from 1 species
AUUCGAUUACAAGUACCGUGAGGGAAAGUUGAAAAGUACUUUGAAAAGAGAGUGCAAGAGAACGUGAAACCGAAAUAAUGGAAACGAAUGAACCCGACGUAUCUAUUGGGUAUUCAGCUUUCCGCUGUUGCAAUUGGGUCGUAGUGUUGUUGCAAAAUGCGCUGCGUUCUAGUGUUGUAGCUGCGGUUAGUGCACUUGCCCAAGGAGUGCGCCGAGUUGUGUGGCUUUGUCGAAUGAAGCGCGUUUAGAGGAUCGGCCUCGGUCGGAACCCUGUGCGCGUCGAGUUCGGUUGGGGCUGCGCAGCUUUGUGGAGACGUGGGAUUUUCGCGUUUAGCGGUGCUGGUUGGUCAGGUUUGCAUUCUGCACAUGUGUAUCGUGCUUAUGUGGCUGGCGAGUGCUGUUGAGUGCUCUGCGUUCUUCUCGGUGUAUAGUCGGUGACGCAUUCGACCCGUCUUGAAACACGGACCAAGGAGUUUACGGUAUGCGCAAGUUAUUGAGUUUGACGAAGCUCAAAAGCACAAUGAAAGUAAGACAUUGUUGUAUUUAACGUGAUUGGGUGCGGCAUUCGUGCGGCUCAAGCAACGUUGCCCCGUUUCUGGGACUCAACCUCCUGUUGCGGCGGUUGAGCGUAUGCUGUGAGACCCGAAAGAUGGUGAACUAUGCCUGAACAGGACGAAGCCAGAGGAAACUCUGGUGGAAGUCCGAAGCGGUUCUGACGUGCAAAUCGAUCGUCUGAUUUUGGUAUAGGGGCGCAAGACUAAUCGAACCAUCUAGUAGCUGGUUCCUUCCGAA